rnacentral:rRNA from 1 species
CCUACGGGUGGCAGCAGUGGGGAAUUUUGGACAAUGGGGGCAACCCUGAUCCAGCCAUUCCGCGUGAGUGAAGAAGGCCUUCGGGUUGUAAAGCUCUUUUGUCCGGAGCGAAACGGGCGGCCCUAAUACGGUCGUCUACUGACGGUACCGGAAGAAUAAGCACCGGCUAACUACGUGCCAGCAGCCGCGGUAAUACGUAGGGUGUUAGCGUGAGUCGGACGUACUGGGCGGAUUGCGUGCGCCGGAUGUGAAAUCCCCGGGCUCAACCUGGGAAUGGCAUUUGGGACUGCAAGGCUGGAGUGUGGCAGAGGGGACUAGAAUUCCUGGUGUAGCAGUGAAAUGCGUAGAUAUCAGGAGGAAUACCGAUGGCGAAGGCAGGUCCCUGGGUUAACACUGACGCUCAUGCACGAAAGCGUGGGGAGCAAACAGGAUUAGAUACCCUUGUAGUC